UACGAAGGGUGCAAGCGUUAAUCGGAAUUACUGGGCGUAAAGCGCGCGUAGGUGGUUCAGUAAGUUGGCAGUGAAAUCCCCGGGCUCAACCUGGGCACUGCUUUCAAAACUGCUGAGCUAGAGUACGGUAGAGGGUGGUGGAAUUUCCUGUGUAGCGGUGAAAUGCGUAGAUAUAGGAAGGAACACCAGUGGCGAAGGCGACCACCUGGACUGAUACUGACACUGA
rnacentral:rRNA from 1 species